rnacentral:rRNA from 1 species
GACGAACGCUGGCGGCGUGCUUAACACAUGCAAGUCGAACGGAAAGGCCCUGCUUUUGUGGGGUGCUCGAGUGGCGAACGGGUGAGUAAAACGUGAGUAAACUGCCCUUGACUUUGGGAUAACUUCAGGAAACUGGGGCUAAUACAGGAUAUGAGCUCCUGCUGCAUGGUGGGGGUUGGAAAGAUUCGGCGGUUGGGGCUGGACUCGCGGCUUAUCAGCUUGUUGGUGGGGUAGUGGCUUACCAAGGCUUUGACGGGUAGCCGGCCUGAGAGGGUUGCCGGCCACAUGGGGACUGAGAUACGGCCCAGACUCCUACGGGAGGCAGCAGUGGGGAAUAUUGCACAAUGGGCGGAAGCCUGAUGCAGCAACGCCGCGUUCGGGAUGACGGCCUUCGGGUUGUAAACCGCUUUCGCCUGUGACGAAGCGUGAUUGACGGUAAUGGGUAAAGAAGCACCGGCUAACUACGUG